GACGAACGCUGGCGGCGUGCCUAAUACAUGCAAGUCGAGCGGACCAAACAGGAGCUUGCUCUUGUUUGGUUAGCGGCGGACGGGUGAGUAACACGUGGGUAACCUGCCCGUAAGACCGGGAUAACUCCGGGAAACCGGAGCUAAUACCGGAUAACACCGAAGACCGCAUGGUCUUUGGUUGAAAGGCGGCUUCGGCUGCCACUUACGGAUGGGCCCGCGGCGCAUUAGCUAGUUGGUGAGGUAACGGCUCACCAAGGCGACGAUGCGUAGCCGGCCUGAGAGGGUGACCGGCCACACUGGGACUGAGACACGGCCCAGACUCCUACGGGAGGCAGCAGUAGGGAAUCUUCCGCAAUGGACGAAAGUCUGACGGAGCGACGCCGCGUGAGCGAAGAAGGGCUUCGGAUCGUAAAGCUCUGUUGUUAGGGAAGAAGAAGCGCCGUUCGAACAGGGCGGCGCGGUGACGGUACCUAACGAGAAAGCCCCGGCUAACUACGUG
rnacentral:rRNA from 1 species